UGACAUUAAAAGGGACACAAAUUCCCCAACAGUCUUCAGGAUAAGGUCAUAGACCUCCCAGUUUUUUCACCUCCACAAGAGCUACACUGAGAUCCUCGUGAAUGUCACUGCUCCAAGUUAGAGGUGGUUGGUUUUGCCUUUUCCUCUUAUAGGAUGCUGUCCUUCUGGUGGUUAUGCAUGGUGGUGUCAGGUCUUCAAUCCACAUCUAUUGGCUGACUGGACACUUCGGUCGUUGGUAACCAGGCUCACCAGUCUGAAAUUCACCUGGCAUAACUCUGCUCAGUGGAAUGAAGUUAGUGGAGGGUACUUGCCACAGUGACAGAGAGCUGGUAUACUGGUCAUUGGAUUGGUUCUUCUGUAAGCUGUCUUCUGUGUUCUGCAACAACUAUUGUCUAAUGUAUUGCUUUGUGCAAUUUUGCAAAAGUUCUCCACAUCUACUAAAUAUUAACACCUA
rnacentral:lncRNA from 1 species